CGCCGAAAAGCGCGUAGCAGCGAGCUCCGCUGGGAGGCAAAAUCAUCCAAUGGGAAAUCGAAAUCUGUCUUGUCCAGACACUGACUGCCAAGAGAUCAACAGCAGAGGGCUUAAGCACUUGUCUUGAAACUGGGUUUGCGUGUUCAACCCCUAGAAACUCCCAGUUUCUACUUCACGUUUUCAUUCAAUCUCAGUUUUAGUAUUGCUUGUUUGAUUUCUCAGUGGAAUCCUAAUGGAGAAGGAGACUGUGAAUCCGGAAGACGGUUUCUGUGUCAGGUUUUUGAAGUGUUUGGGAAGUGCUUCUUUAAGCAAAAAAUUUGCAAACCUUAUGAUGAAAUCAGAAACUGAGUCUUUGAGUUUUUUCAAUUUGUUGGGGAACUGAUGAAUGAAAGAGAUGAAGA